GAAGCAAGGGGAACCCUCAGAAGGUGGAGCCAACCCACAGAUAAAGGGUCAAGAAAAACCAGGAAGAGAAGAAGAGUGCUGGAAGGAUCUAUGAACAAUAGAGAAAGAGACAAUAGAGAUUGGCUGGAUUUACCGUGUAUGAGCUGGACUGUUUUGGACUUACCUGUUGGCGUUUGGACCUGGACCUACCGAGAACCCGAUUCAUGUACCGAACCCUGCUAUCCUUGACCUCGCCUACGGCCUGGGUGGACCAGGACGGAGAAACAAACACAGGCCCAUACCUCCCCGUGUCGUCGACCACGGGGCAGGGGUUUCCAGUACCUGCUUGACUGGGAGGGUUAUGGCCCAGAGGAGAGGUGCUGGGUUCCCGCUAAAGACAUCCUGGACCCGUCCCGCAUCACCGCUGGCACCCCCGUCAACCAGGUGUCACCCGUUUUCGCCGUUGGAACAAAUACCCAGGGACUGUGUUGCCAGGUCGUCUUGUCAACCAGCGUGUUUUUCUGUGCUCCUGCUUUUUCUUCCCUUUUGCUAGUCCUCCUGGUUUUGACCCUUGCCUGCCUUGACCCUGAACUCACCUGCCUGACCAUGCUGCCACUCUGUACCUCCUGGACUAUGACCUUGUUUAUGAUCUUUUGCCUGUUCACAACCAUUCUCGUCUGCCCCUUGGAUUAUAAUAAAUAGAGACUCGAACCAUCUGCCUCCCGUGUCUGGGUCUUGCCCUGUGCCCUUAUAAUUAGUUGAGUAUCUGGAGCAUCAGCAUUUGGGUUUGAAUACAGGCUCAA